CUGCCCCCAUGUUACAGAUGACAAGAUGACAGCACAGCAGCAGCAGAUUAUUUAACCAGAGGCUCCAAAGUAGAUGGAACGCAACCACAAGUUCCUUUUUUUCCCCCUGAAGCUCAUUUAGCCAAAACACAGGCUGCUGAAUAUUCGGCUGUGAAGCAUACUAUCAGUGUGUUUAAGGGAGGCCAUUCUUACGUCAUCGCCAAUCAUAUAGCAGGGAGGUUUGAAAUUCUUACAAGAUCAUCUGACCUUGUGAGAUUUACAGCUGUUUUCAAAUGAAGCAAGUCCUUCCAGUAUCAGGUCUUUCCCGAACUCCAGGGGUAAAAGGAGAAAAGAAGAAGAAGAAGAAAAAGGCAGUUCUCCAGCAUGGAUGUGUAUUGUUUGGUGUAGGUAGGUCUGGGGGGAGGGCUGCUCUCCAAGGUCCUGCCUUGGUGGUUGUGGGGAGAAGAAUGGUGGCACCCAAGCCCUUCUCGAACCAAGCAUUGCAAGCCACUCUUUUGAGUCCGAUCUCCCUGUGUCGUGGGUGGGCCAAGUUGUAUUUCCCAAGCCCCUCCUUGUGUCCAAAGCCUAGUCCAUGCAUUUUAAUGCUACCGCCCAAGAUGAGAUGUACUCCCACAGGCAGGUGGCUUCCUAGCCAGGAUUGCAUAGGGGGAGUCAGGGAGCAGUUUUCUCCUGGCUCCACCUGGAAUUGGCAUGCCACCACUGAGCCCAAGGAAAAAUGUGCCAGCCAAAGGGGACGAAUUUCUCUCCCCAUGCCCAGUG
rnacentral:lncRNA from 1 species